UGGGAAGAGCUAUAAAGAAAAGGGUGAGAGACUGCGAAGAGACGGAAGCACCACAGGGCCAGCGUCUGCUCAGCUGUGCUUCCUCAGUGAGGCUUCCUCCGCUUACUUUAUUUAAUAUACCUUUCCACUCUCCCAGUAACUGUUCUAAUCACUGCACCCUCCCUUCAGUCCAUGUCUUAACUUUUGGCCUCUGUUCUUUGUUUUCUCAUACAUGAGUCAACUACCACCUCCCACCUCGCCAUUGCCUCCCGGCUGCCAGAAAUGCAGGCUGAAACCAGGGCUUUGAAGCUCUACCACUGUUCUCAGCCCCAAACUCAGGACAAGAUUCUCUGUGGAACCAUGGCUAUCCUUGAACUCACAGAGAUUCAUUGCUGCUGGGAGUAAAGUUUACAGGACCACCAUAUCUGACAUGAAAAUUCAAAGCACACUUAGAAGACUUUGUGUUCUCUAGAGAAGUUAGCAGGAUUGUUUAAAUUUUGAGAACUGGCCACACCAGACACAGAAUCAAGAUAAAACUCAACUGAUAAAACACAGAAAUGCUCAAGUGAGGUCAUGAACAAACAGUAAGUCAAUCACCUGCUUUGUACCCAUCUGUCUACUCACAAAGGCAGAAAUAUGAUGGUAGGUGGAACGGUUGGUUUUCAAUGAAGGAAUUCUGUUUAUGUCAAUGUUCUGGAAAAUAGGAAAUAACAUACAGUUAAAAGUUAAUGCGAAAAGUACAAUUGCUUUUUAUUUUUUGCAACAAUAUUUUGCUAUGUAGCCUGAGACCAGCCUGGACUUAUUAUGGCAAGUCUCCUGCCUCAAUGUGCUGGGAAUAGUGUGCGCUGUCACAGAACUGUGAGUUAACCUACACUAUAGUUUGUUCUCAAGUUGUUUUAUUUUAAUCCCCACUAGAAGAUGCUAGGAGGGAACAAGGUAGAAACUUCAGGGGUGAUUAGGGCAGCUCUUUUGAUGAAUAGAUUAAUCCUUUCAAGUGUUUAAUGGAUUCCAAGGCUGACUGUUUUUAAAGUGAAUCUGCUACAAAAGCCAGUUUGCUCAGACCUCCUUGUUUAUGGCUUUCAUGCUCUCCAUCAACUUGUGACUGCCAGUAAGAAGACCACCACCAGAUGCAGCCCAUUCAUCCUGGAGAAACAUAGUCUUUUCUCUGUGAAUUACUUUGCCUAUUGCACUGUAUUAUUAGAAACAGAAAAUGCACUAAAAUAAGACUUAAAAUCCGCUUAAUAAUGAAAGCAAUCUUUUCAUCCAAAGUUAAAAUUACUUCAUGUUAAUAAAAAUACUAGAUCUUCAAUUCUUC
rnacentral:lncRNA from 1 species